rnacentral:lncRNA from 1 species
CGUUGGAGCCAUGUUGAAGAUGUUAUCGAAACCUUACCAGGGAUCUAACAAUUGGUAUUGCGACCUAACAAUAUCGGGAAGCUUUAGCAUUUGGUAACACCAAAGGGACACGAUUGUCAGAUUUUACUCAUUACUUUUCCGUUUGGAACCUAUUCUUUCAGCAUAGGGACCAACCCAAUCAAAGUAAACCCUUCUUCUGAACUCUUUCUUCGACCCCAGCUUUAGCGUUGU